AUGUAUAUCGAAAAUGUGCCAGCUACAUCUGCUCUUAACUAAUUCAAGUUCAAACAAACAUUAUACAAUACAUUAUGUUACGAUGGAUAUUGACUUUGAAUAUAGACAAGGAGAACAAAAUAAACAAAAUUUUAUCAUCUGGAUUAUGUCACAUUCCUCGAAAAUUAAACAACAGCGAAAGGCAAAAAAAUCACAAAAAAUAUUAUAGCGAAGCAACUCAGCUUAUCUCUGAUCAGCAAGCAAUUAACGCUAAUGGACAUACAAUUAAAUGCCUUAGUCAACAAAUGAUACAUGAAAAUAUGUACUCUGAAAAAAAAAAACAGACAACUCCUCAGCAAACAAAAAAGAAAAGCAAAUAGUAAAAAAAUCAUCUAAAUAUCAAGGCAUGUUUUAUCAAAGGAUCACCGAAACAUAUUCCUCAAAAAUUCAAAAUUUAAAACGAUAAUCACAACAACACUUCAAAAUAGUUUUUAUCGCCUUCGAACCGUAACGAACAUGUUUGAGUGCGAACCGUUGCAACACGAACGAGUCAAAAGAAAAAUACUCAAUUGCUAAUGGGGGCUCGUUGCCGCGCCGCUGCUUGUUGGCGCGACUUACUUGAGUUGGAAAUUUAUUCCACAGUAAACCGCGGUAAGGAAAGUUUUCCAAAUAGCAAUAACGAAUCGCAUAAGCAACACACCGCAACGCGAGAAACAGUUUUGAAAAAAGUGCUUAAAAUCAGUGCACACUUAAACCUAAAAGGCAAACAGGCCAUGCCGCGCACAAAGCGCAACAAAAGUUAAUAAUUUUUUAUGCAACAACGAAGAAAACGCCAAAGUUGCAUGCAACACAAACGCGAUAAUUGCAAUUGAAUGCGCUGCAAAGCAAAUAAACUGUGAAUAUAAAAGCAAAAUAAUUGCAUUACAACGAUAACAACAACAACAAUAACAAAUUGCAACUGCAACAAGUGCCACAACAGUGUGGCAUGCAUGCAUUUCAGAGCGCAACAGGCAGUGCAUAAAGCAAGUGUAAUAAUAAUAACAACAAUAACAAUUGUGAAUAAAAACACAGCAACAUUGCCCUCAAUAAUUGACCAUAAGUAAAACAGCAACAGCAACAACAAUAGCAAUACUAAUACAAGCCAAAGGGAUUUCAGUGCAAAGUGUUAACUUUGGCGAUUGUUGGCAAAGUCAGCCAGCGUUGGAAAAUACAUAUUUAUUGUGCAUAAUAUGCUAUGUGACUGAGCGUAUGUACAUAUUUCCGGCGACAAGUGUCACACAAUUCGUGCUACAAACGUGCAACAAACGCGAAUGCAUGCUGCAACAUUAA